GAUGAACGCUAGCGGGAGGCCUAACACAUGCAAGCCGAGCGGUAGAAUCUUUUCGGAGAUUUGAGAGCGGCGUACGGGUGAGGAACACGUGUGCAACCUGCCUUUAUCUGGGAGAUAGCCUUUCGAAAGGAAGAUUAAUAUCCCAUAAUAUAUUGAGUGGCAUCACUUAAUAUUGAAAGCUCCGGCGGAUAGAGAUGGGCACGCGCAAGAUUAGAUAGUUGGUGAGGUAACGGCUCACCAAGUCUACGAUCUUUAGGGGGCCUGAGAGGGUGAUCCACCACACUGGUACGGAGACACGGACCAGACUCCGACGGGAGGCAGCAGUGAGGAAUAUUGGACAAUGGGUGCAAGCCUGAUCCAGCCAUCCCGCGUGAAGGAUUAAGGUCCUAUGGAUUGUAAACUUCUUUUAUACAGGGAUAAACCUCUCCUCGUGAGGAGAGCUGAAGGUACUGUAUGAAUAAGCACCGGCUAACUCCGUGCCAGCAGCCGCGGUAA
rnacentral:rRNA from 1 species